GUCCGUCGUGGCAAUGUGGCUGGAGACAGCAAAAAUGAUCCACCCAUGGAAGCUGCUGGCUUCACAGCUCAGGUGAUUAUUUUGAACCAUCCAGGCCAAAUCAGUGCUGGAUAUGCACCUGUGCUGGAUUGUCACACAGCUCACAUCGCUUGCAAGUUUGCUGAGCUGAAGGAGAAGAUUGAUCGUCGUUCUGGGAAAAAGCUGGAAGAUGGCCCUAAAUUCUUGAAAUCUGGUGACGCUGCCAUUGUUGAUAUGGUUCCUGGCAAGCCCAUGUGUGUCGAGAGCUUCUCUGAUUAUCCUCCCCUGGGCCGUUUUGCUGUGCGUGACAUGAGACAGACAGUCGCUGUGGGUGUCAUCAAGGCAGUGGACAAGAAGGCAGCUGGAGCUGGCAAGGUCACCAAGUCUGCCCAGAAAGCUCAGAAGACUAAAUGAAUAUUAUCCCCAACACCUGCCACCCCAAUCUUAAUCAAUGGUGGAAGAACGGUCUCAGAAUUGUUUGUCUCAAUUGGCCAUUUAAAUUUAAUAGUGAAAGACUGGUUAAUGAUAACAGUGCAUCGUAAAACCUUCAGAAGGAAAGGAGAAUGUUUUUGUGGACCAUAUGUUUUGUGUGUGGCAGUUUAAGUUGUUAGUUUUUAAAAUCAGUACUUUUUAAUGAAAACAACUUGACCAAAAAUCUGUCACAGAAUUUGAGACCCAUUAAAAAAAGUUUAAUGAGAAAAAAAAAA